rnacentral:rRNA from 1 species
GACGAACGCUGGCGGCGCGCUUAACACAUGCAAGUCGAACGGAAAGGCCUGCUUUCCCUUGUGGAUUGCGGGUACUCGAGUGGCGAACGGGUGAGUAACACGUGAGUGAUCUGCCCCCAACUUGGGUAUAAGCCUGGGAAACUGGGUCUAAUUCCCGAUAGGACUGCAGGGUGGUGCCUGUGGUGGAAAACGAUUUUCUAGUGGUUGGGGAUGAGCUCGCGGCCUAUCAGCUUGUCGGUGGGGUAAUGGCCUACCAAGGCGGCGACGGGUAGCCGGCCUGAGAGGGUGGACGGCCACAUUGGGACUGAGAUACGGCCCAGACUCCUACGGGAGGCAGCAGUGGGGAAUAUUACACAAUGGGCGGAAGCCUGAUGCAGCGACGCCGCGUGGGGGAUGACGGCCUUCGGGUUGUAAACUCCUUUCGACCGCGAGGAAGCCACCUGGUUGGAAGGGUGGUGACGGUAGUGGUAGAAGAAGCACCGGCUAACUACGUG